GACUCUGUGGUGUAGGUAGCAUAAAGGUUUUUCGUGUCUUUGGUCUAGUGUUAGUGGAGUUU
rnacentral:tRNA from 1 species